rnacentral:rRNA from 1 species
UACAGAGGUCUCAAGCGUUGUUCGGAUUCAUUGGGCGUAAAGGGUGCGUAGGUGGCGGGGUAAGUCAGGUGUGAAAUCUCGGGGCUCAACCCCGAAACUGCACUUGAUACUGCCUUGCUCGAGUACUGGAGAGGAGAUUGGAAUUUACGGUGUAGCAGUGAAAAUGCGUAGAUAUGCGGAGGAACACCGAUGGCGAAGGCAAUCCCCUGGGCCUGCACUGACGCUCAUGCACGAAAGCGUGGGGAGCGAACAGG